UUCUCUCUCACAGCUAUAAUAUUUAAUACGCAUACAAAACCUGCCUCUUUACCCACCGUCUCCGCCUCUUUCUGCCACAUAAAUUCCCCUCCUCCACCGUCUCUCACCGGCCACCGUCGCCACCACCAGCACCAAUUCUCCUCCUCCUCCUCCUCCUCCGUCGUAGAGCUGCUUUCAUGACAGCGGCGCCGCCAUUCAAAGAGCCAACACAAAUUUUCUACAAACAAGCAUCACCCAGAUGAAAUAAUGGCUAAGGGUUUCUGUGAUUUACGACUUACUUGAUGGUUCGCUACUCCAACAUGGCUGUCUUGUUCCUUUGGACACUAUCCCUUUUGGUGCUACCUCUACUCCUUCCGCCGCUACCGCCGCCACCUAUGCCGGUCCUCUUGGUGUGUUUUAAAAACUUUGAGGGGAAGCUUGAAAGGGGAAGUUCAAAGAGGACGAUAACGGCUAGCGGUGAGCUUGGGCCGUUACAUCCGAUCACUACAGUCAUGUCCGGAAGUUGUUGUGGGCUUGGACCGUUACAUCCGACUACUAUAGUCAUGUCUGGAAGCUGUUGAUGACAUCAUUGUAUAGAACAUCGAACCUAUCCAUGUCUCUAACAAUGAUAUGAUAUAGUCUACUUUAGAUCUGACCUCAUGAUUUUGGCUAGUACAAAUGAAGAUGUAUUUGGUGGAUCUUCCGUGGUCUAGAAAUCAGGUAAAACAAUUUAAUUUUGUGAGCUUUGUUGAAUAUUUGUGGUGGGCUUGAACCGUUACAUCCGACCAACUACAGUUAUGUCUGGAAGCUGUUGUGGGCUUGUACCAUUACAUCCGACUACUAUAGUCAUGUCUGGAAGUUGUUGACGAUAUCAUUGUAUAGAACAUCGAGACUGUCCAUGUCUUUAACGAUGAUAUGAUAUAUAGUUUACUUCAGAU